GAUGAAGAACGCAGCGAAAUGCGAUAAGUAAUGUGAAUUGCAGAAUUCAGUGAAUCAUCGAAUCUUUGAACGCACAUUGCGCCCGCCAGUAUUCUGGCGAGUAUGCCUGUUCGAGCGUCAUUUCAACCAUCAAGCCCCAGGCUUGUGUUGGAGCCCUGCGGCUGCCGCAGCCUCCCAAAACCAGUGGCGGGCUCGCUAUCACACCGAGUGCAGUAGUUUACUCUUCGCUCAGGGCGUGUGGCGGGUGCUAGCCGUGAAACCCCCAACUUCUCAAGGUUGACCUCGGAUCAGGUAGGAAUACCCGCUGAACUUAAGCAUAUCAAUAAGCGGAGGA
rnacentral:misc_RNA from 1 species